rnacentral:rRNA from 1 species
UACGUAGGGGGCGAGCGUUGUCCGGAAUUACUGGGCGUAAAGGGUGCGUAGGCGGCCGAUUAAGUCAGAUGUGAAAUACCACGGCUCAACUGUGGGGGUGCAUAUGAAACUGGUUGGCUUGAGUGCAGGAGAGGAAAGUGGAAUUCCUAGUGUAGCGGUGAAAUGCGUAGAGAUUAGGAGGAACACCAGUGGCGAAGGCGACUUUCUGGACUGUAACUGACGCUGAGGCACGAAAGCGUGGGGAGCAAAC